GUCUUCAUGGUGUAGUUGGGAGCAUGCCAGACUGAAGUGUCUGUUCUCUUGAACGGUUAUUUGCAAUCUGUUGGUCGCUGGUUCGAACCCGGCUGAGGACA
rnacentral:tRNA from 1 species